rnacentral:rRNA from 1 species
UACGAAGGGGGCAAGCGUUAUUCGGAUUUAUUGGGCGUAAAGGGCGUGUAGGCGGCUCGGCAAGUCUGGUGUGAAAACGCUACCGCUCAACGGAGCGAAUGCGCUGGAUACUGCCGAACUUGAGUCCGAGAGAGGUGAGCAGAAUACCUGGUGUAGCGGUGGAAUGCUUAGAUAUCAGGUAGAAUACCCGAGGCGAAGGCGGCUCACUGGCUCGGUACUGACGCUGAGGCGCGAAAGCGUGGGGAUCAAACGGG